rnacentral:misc_RNA from 1 species
GCACGCAGAGCUCCGUCGACAUCCCCUCCGUCUUGUUUCUUCUGCUGAGUUCCCAGGGCAAGAGUGCGUGUAGCGGCAUACCCGCGCCGCAUAUUCUCACCUCUCACUCUCUCGCGCGCUCUAGCAGAGCUGCGCACGGUUUGCUUCUUUGGCUUUCCAUCUAAGCUUUUUUUUUGUUGCUCUCUCCAGCUCAGGAGCUCGCCACGGUCCUGUGCACCUCUGCGGGGGACUUGUUUCUUUUUUUUUGAACCCGGGGAUGGUUCUUCCUUCUUCAUACGCCCAGGUUUCAUCACUCUUGCAGGAAGAAUGACGCAGUUGUACAAGUUGGUGUGCUUCACCACAGUCGUCGCUGGCCUGAUCGUGCUUCUGACCCUGUACACCGUCUCGACUCUCCGGACGAAGGAUAGUGAAGCGACCAUCGUUGGCGUGAACUCAGCGCGUUACAACGUCACCGAUGGAUGGAAAGCGCUGCACUUUUCCAAGGCCGCAUACUGCGAAGUGGAAAAUUUGAGGCACUGGAGCUGCGGCAACACCUGCUCCAACGCCACUCCUGAUUUUCACGUCUUCAACAUCUACGAAAACACCUCGACUGGCAACGUCGGAUACAGCGGCGUUGACCAUGACGCGGAGCGGAUUGUCGUGGCCUUCCGCGGUACGUACAACACGGUGAACUGGCUUCAAAAUUUGGACUUCUGGCUCACGCCAUACCCGCACCCCGGCUGCGGAAAGGGCUGCAAGGUUCACCGCGGCUUCUACAGCGCUUACAGCAGCCUUCGCACACAGAUGAUCGAAGAUGUGCUGUUGUUACAUGCGCGGUAUCCCUUCUACACCCUCUUCAUCACCGGCCACUCCCUCGGGGGUGCAAUGGCCAUGCUCGCUGCCGUCGAGCUCACAACGUGGAACAUGUUGGAGGCUGACGUACUGGGCAAGGACGUGCAGUCCCGCGGUGCGGUGUCCCCGCCAUUGCACCUGGCGCCGGUGGAGCUCUACACAUUUGGUGAACCACGCGUGGGAAACGGGUACUUCUCGAACUGGUCUCUGUCUAUCCUGACCAGGAAGCGGUCGUUUCGCCUCACCCACGCAAGGGACCCUGUGCCGCACGUGCCACCGCGCACGUUUAGCUAUGUGCACGUGCCACGGGAAGUGUGGUACCCCACGGACGGCGAAAAGUACCAUCUGUGCCGGGGCACCGGCUUCUCCGAGGACCCGCUCUGCAGCAACAGCGUGUUCGGCACAAGAGUGUCGGACCAUCUCAUCUACCUCGGUAUUUGCACGCGAUGCGAGUGCACGGUGGAAGAGAUGGAGGAGAUCUACAGCUACGAGCUGCCACCCGAGAUGUACAAUAUUAUCGCCCUCGAUCACGCCAUGGACGACCCAAACUUUACAUACCGCCGAGCUCUCUAGCUCUCUUUCUCACAGCACGACAAGCGCUCGCGCAGGUGUGUGUGUGUGUGUGCGCGCGAGCUUGCGCUUUAUUACCACUGCAAAUAUGCUUCACGAUGCCAAAAAUAUGAGAUAUCUUCAUUUUCUGGACGUAUGCUUUCGUGGCACGAUGCACGUAUGCGAUCGCCCUCAUCCCCUUCUUGCGUGUGUCCGCUGGCUCGGCAGCGUCGAUGACGACUUCGUUUGGCCUUUCUUUUCUUUGGGCUGUGGCUUUCGCGCGAACCUCUUCCGUGUGCUCUUGGGCCCCAUAUUAUGUUGAUGAUUAUGAUCUUGUCUUCACCACUGACUUCUCGGUCAGCCUCCAUGCUUUUCUCUGGCUGCAUAUAACCGCACCUUCCUUGUUGCGCACGACCAGCGUCCCGCAUGCAGUGCUCGUGUGCUGUGAGAGGCGGUGCGCCGAGGCUUCGUAUCACCGGCCCUCUCGCUUCGCAGCGUUCUGUUUUUCGUAUGCUCUCCGUCCUUUUCCUGUGAAGUUGCUCGUAUAUUUCUGCUUCUUUUCUUCACCGCCAAGAGGUGUUUUCGGUACAUAUCUGCUCAAACUCUCGCUCUUGGCUCUACCUCCAUGGAC